UACGGGGGGGGCAAGCGUUGUUCGGAAUUACUGGGCGUAAAGGGUUUGUAGGUGGCUUGCUAAGUCAGACGUGAAAUCCCUCAGCUUAACUGGGGAACUGCGUCUGAGACUGGUGAGCUUGAGUGCAGGAGAGGAACGCGGAAUUCCAGGUGUAGCGGUGAAAUGCGUAGAUAUCUGGAGGAACACCGGUGGCGAAGGCGGCGUUCUGGACUGCAACUGACACUGAGGAGCGAAAGCCAGGGGAGCAAACGGG
rnacentral:rRNA from 1 species